GCCAGGUGUGGUGGUGGGCGCCUGUAAUCCCAGCUACUCGGGAGGCUGAGGCAGGAGAAUCGCUUGAACCCAGGAGGUAGAGGUUGCAGUGAGCCAAGAUCGUGCCACUGCACUCCAGCCUGGGUGACAGAGCAAGACCCUGCCUUUA
rnacentral:sRNA from 1 species